AUGAUGCGGCCGGUUGAAGAAGAAAGAGAUGGCUGGUUUUCUUGGAUGCUUGAAAAGAGGAGUUUGAGCUAUAAUGGCGGACCAAUUCCCGUUCCCCUUGAUGAGCCGUUUCUUGCUGAUAAUGUGCAAAGAAUUUGCAUUUGUGAUGCAGGUGAAGGGAUGCAAAAUGAUAAUGUUCUUUUGUUCUGGCAAGUCAAGCCGGUUGUACAUGUCUUUCAGGUGACACUGCUUGCUUAG